rnacentral:tRNA from 1 species
GGAAAGGGCCUGGCUCAGUGGUAGAGGAUCUCCUUCGCAAUCAGAAGGUCCCAGGUUCAAUUCCUGCUGACUCCA